GUCUACGGCCAUAUUACCCUAAACAUACCGGAUCUCGUCUGAUCUUGGAAGCUAUGCAGGAUUGAGCCUGGUUAGUACUUGGAUGGGAGAUAUAAUGUUAAGUUAAAAGCAGGAUA
rnacentral:rRNA from 1 species